rnacentral:rRNA from 1 species
AACGAACGCUGGCGGCAUGCCUAACACAUGCAAGUCGAACGAGACCUUCGGGGCUAGUGGCGCACGGGUGCGUAACGCGUGGGAACCUGCACUUAGGUUCGGAAUAACUCCCCGAAAGGGGUGCUAAUACCGGAUAAUGUCUUCGGACCAAAGAUUUAUCGCCUUUGGAUGGGCCCGCGUUGGAUUAGCUAGUUGGUAGGGUAAAAGCCUACCAAGGCGACGAUCCAUAGCUGGUCUGAGAGGAUGAGCAGCCACACUGGGACUGAGACACGGCCCAGACUCCUACGGGAGGCAGCAGUGGGGAAUAUUGGACUAUGGGCGAAAGCCUGAUCCAGCAAUGCCGCGUGAGUGAUGAAGUCCUUAGGGUUGUAAAGCUCUUUUACCCGGGAUGAUAAUGACAGUACCGGGAGAAUAAGCUCCGGCUAACUCCGUG